UACGUAGGGGGCAAGCGUUGUCCGGAAUCAUUGGGCGUAAAGCGCGUGUAGGCGGUUCGGUAAGUCGGCUGUGAAAGCCCACGGCUCAACCGUGGAGGGUCAUUGGAAACUGGGGAACUUGAGUGCAGAAGAGAAAAGCGGAAUUCCACGUGUAGCGGUGAAAUGCGUAGAGAUGUGGAGGAACACCAGUGGCGAAGGCGGCUUUUUGGUCUGUAACUGACGCUGAGGCGCGAAAGCGUGGGGAGCAAACAGG
rnacentral:rRNA from 1 species